AUGUCGGAGGCCGACCGGUUACGCCUCCGCGCGGCGGCGCUGGCGCUCGACGGCGGCGCUGUGCGGGACAAGCCGGACUCCAAGGCUAACGUGUUCGCGGAUCUUGGGUCCCCGGUGUCGCCGCUGCGGGCGCGGGCCAGCAUGACGACCUCCUCCUCCUCCUCUUCCGGGUCGGCCAAGUCGCCAGCGCAGUCAAAUGUUGGGGCGGUGGGAGCGGCAGGCGGGAGGAGCCACUCCGGUGAGCUGGCGGUGGAGAGCCACCCGCCGCGGCUGCCGGGGCACCGGCGGUGCGGAUCUGGCCCGCUGAUAUUCUCCGGCGGCAGCAGCAGCGGAGGGAGCGGGGGAGGCGGAGGGGACCGUGGGAGCACGGCGAGCUCGCCGAUGACCAAUGCGCUCCCCGCCGGUAACAUCUGCCCAUCUGGCCGCGUUCCGGGGGCGGCGGCCGCGCCGCCCCCGCCGCGCUCCCGCCCGGACGUGCUCGGAUCCGGCACCGGCCACUAUGGCCACGGGAGCAUCAUGCGCGGGGCCGUCAUGGGCCCCGCGAGAAGCAGCAUUGAUGCGCCGUCCUUUCUCGGACACUCAAUGAGAUCUCCGGCAAGCUCCCCGGUGGCGCCACCGAGCGGCGGAAGCCUGCAGGAGAUGACUCGCCUAGGCAACGAGUGGUACAAGAAGGGGAGGCACGCGGAGGCGCUGCGGUACUACGACCGUGCGGUGUCUCUCUGCCCCGAAAGCGCCGCGUGCCGCGGAAAUCGUGCCGCCGCGCUCAUCGGCCUUGGCCGGCUCGCCGAUGCGCUCCGCGACUCCGAGGAGGCCGUCCGGCUCGACCCGGCCAGCGGUCGCGCCCACAGCCGCCUCGCUGGUCUCUACCUCCGGCUGGGAAUGAUUGAAAAAGCGAGGAGGCACUUCACGCAAGCCAGGCAUCUUCACGAGUCCGACCCUGCAGACUGGGAGAAGCUGCAGGAUGUGGAGAUGCAUCUAGGAAGAAGCACGGAUGCCAGGAAAAUUGGAGAUUGGAAGAGCGCGCUGAGGGAAGCGGAUGCUGCAAUUGCGGCCGGAGCCGACUCGUCCCAGUUGCUUCGUGCCUUGAGAUCAGAAGCACUUCUCCGGCUCCACAAGUUAGAGGAGGCUGAUUCGACUCUUACAAGCUUGCUGAAAUUAGACAAGUCAUUACUAUCUUGGACGGCGGCGAAACUCUCGGGCAUGCUAGUUGAGUCUUAUGUACAUAUUGUGCGAGCCCAGGUUGACAUGGCAUUGGGAAGGUUUGAUGCCGCUGUUGCAGCAGCUGAGAAUGCCAGACUUAUCGAUCCUGGGAAUGCGGAAGUUGGGAUGAUUCUAAAUAAUGUGAGGCUAGUUGCAAGAGCUCGAGCCCAAGGGAAUGAACUCUUCAAGGCUGCCAAGUUUUCUGAUGCUUCUAUAGCCUAUGGUGAAGGGCUCAAGUACGAUCCUUCAAAUCCAGUGCUCCACUGCAACCGAGCAGCUUGCUGGUGGAAGCUAGACCGUUGGGAGAAAGCCGUUGAUGACUGUAACGAGGCGUUGAGAAUACAGCCUACUUACACAAAGGCUCUCUUAAGGCGAGCAAUGUCCUAUUCCAAGCUCGAGCGUUGGGCUGAUUGUGUGCGGGAUUAUGAGGUGCUCCGGAAAGAGCUUCCUGCCGAUACUGAGGUUGCCGAAGCAUUGUUCCAUGCUCAAGUUGCCUUGAAGACAACUCGUGGUGAGGAUGUAUCAAACAUGAAGUUUGGAGGAGAGGUUGAAAUGGUAACCAGUGUAGAGCAACUAUAUGCUGCCACUCGUUCGCCUGGGGUAUCUGUUGUCUACUUCAUGUCGUCGGUGAAUCAACAAUGCAUACAAAUUACACCUGCGGUGGACUCUCUUUGCAGCGAAUGCCCCUCAAUGAAUUUUCUGAAGGUAAAUGUUGAAGAUAGCCCAACGGUGGCAAAGGCAGAGAACGUGCGGAUAGUCCCUACAUUCAAGAUAUACAAAGAUGGGGCGAGAGUGAAGGAGAUGAUCUGCCCUACCUUGCAUGUCCUGCGCUACUCAGUGAGACACUAUGCGGUAUCCAGUUCUUGA
rnacentral:rRNA from 1 species